rnacentral:rRNA from 1 species
GAUCCUGGCUCAGGAUGAACGCUAGCUACAGGCUUAACACAUGCAAGUCGAGGGGAAACGACAUCGAAAGCUUGCUUUGGUGGGCGUCGACCGGCGCACGGGUGAGUAACGCGUAUCCAACCUGCCACCACUUGGGGAUAACCCUGCGAAAGUAAGACUAAUACCCAAUGACGUCUCUAGAAGACAUCUGAAAGAGAUUAAAGAUUUAUCGGUGAUGGAUGGGGAUGCGUCUGAUUAGCUUGUUGGCGGGGUAACGGCCCACCAAGGCGACGAUCAGUAGGGGUUCUGAGAGGAAGGUCCCCCACAUUGGAACUGAGACACGGUCCAAACUCCUACGGGAGGCAGCAGUGAGGAAUAUUGGUCAAUGGACGAGAGUCUGAACCAGCCAAGUAGCGUGCAGGAUGACGGCCCUAUGGGUUGUAAACUGCUUUUAUAAGGGAAUAAAGUGAGCCUCGUGAGGCUUUUUGCAUGUACCUUAUGAAUAAGGACCGGCUAAUUCCGUG